AACGAACGCUGGCGGCAGGCUUAACACAUGCAAGUCGAGCGGCAGCGGGACCUUCGGGUUGCCGGCGAGCGGCGGACGGGUGAGUAAUGCCUAGGAAUCUGCCUGUUAGUGGGGGAUAACGCGGGGAAACUCGCGCUAAUACCGCAUACGUCCUACGGGAGAAAGCGGGGGCUCUUCGGACCUCGCGCUCACAGAUGAGCCUAGGUCGGAUUAACUAGUUGGUGGGGUAAUGGCCCACCAAGGCGACGAUCCGUAACUGGGCUGAGAGGAUGAUCAGUCACACUGGAACUGAGACACGGUCCAGACUCCUACGGGAGGCAGCAGUGGGGAAUAUUGGACAAUGGGCGAAAGCCUGAUCCAGCCAUGCCGCGUGUGUGAAGAAGGUCUUCGGAUUGUAAAGCACUUUAAGUCGGGAGGAAGGACUGUAGGCUAAUACCUUGCAGUUUUGACGUUACCGACAGAAUAAGCACCGGCUAACUUCGUGCCAGCAGCCGCCGUAAUAC
rnacentral:rRNA from 1 species